GACGAACUGUCCUAACGUUGUUCGGAAUCACUGGGCUUAAAGGGCGCGUAGGCGGUCCGACAAGUCAGGGGUGAAAUCUUGCAGCUUAACUGUAAAGUGCCUUUGAUACUGUCGGUCUUGAGGGAAUAGGGGUGUGCGGAACUUCCAGUGGAGCGGUGAAAUGACGUUGAUAUUGGAAGGAACGCCGGAGGCGAAAGCGGCGCACUGGAUUCUUCUGACGCUGA
rnacentral:rRNA from 1 species